UUCCCCGUCAGCAUCAUCCAUCGCGAGAAGCCAUGGCGUCCUUGUGCCGCACCGCCGCCGCCGCCGCCACCGUCAUGAGGUCAGGGGCCCUCCGGUCGAGAUCCCCCGCGGAGAGGCUAUUCCAGGCGGCGAGGUCUCCUCUCGCGGCACCGCGCAUCCGCAGGCCCGUCGUGGCGGCGGCGCUGGCGAGUCUCGAUUCGCUCAUGCCGCUGCACAGCGCUGUGGCGGCCGCGCGGCUGCGGUCCUGCAUCGCCGCCGACUCGGCAUGCUGGAGCUGCCUCUCCGAAGGUUUGAUCAAGCGCAUCUGAUCAUGGCUAGGGACGCAAUGUGAAAGAGAAUGGCUCACAUGCUACUGCGUCAUGACAUAAUUUGCAAUAUCUCUCCGUUCUUCUACUUUGCUCUCCCUCGGUAAUGAAGGCUGAAGAAGGUGACCAAUUCCAAACAGCGUUGUCUAGCUCUUAUCCAUCUAGUUUCUUUGUUUCUGUACCAUUGCUGGACCAAAUGAGAGUCCAUUAAUUCAGUGAGAGUCAUAGAAAAACGUAUCUGGAAGUACAUUGGUUUCACUUGUGGUUUCUGUUAUUGACGUGCUUUUGGUGAUGAAACGUAUCUGGAAGUACAUGCUUGGUUCUUGUCGAUUGAAAAUUUGUUGUGGUUGGUGCUUUCUUCAA